UUAGAGUGUGCUUCUUUGUAAAUGUGACAAAUGAAAAUGACCUGAUCCAUCAUUUCCAGCUCCAGUGGGCAUCCUUUAUCCAUCCAGACCCUCAUACAGAUGGUUGGAGUUUUGAUUCACCUAAAGUACCAUGCAAGAGCACUCAUUUUCCCUCUUGAGACCAUGGUGUGACCUGCAAGGUCGAAUGGAGACUGUAAACGAGACAAUCUUGGAGUCACCUGCAUUCACUGGUCCAGUUGUUAGUCCAAUUACAGAUGGAGAUUAUAAAAGAGGAUGAUGUCUUUUCUCCAACAUCUUUCUAGACUAAUAAAAGAUCUAGACAGGCUCAAACAAAAGUUAACAGAGGGGCUUAUAUAGAGAAUGGUGAGCAGCUACACAUAAAAGAAGAACAUGGAGAAUCUGCCCAGAGGUGUUAACCAGCAAUGCAGCUAUACAACUAAAUUGAUGCAGGCGGAAACAAUGUGUAAUGCAGCUGCUGCAGAUGAAGAAUCUGUCCGUCUAGCACUGAAGGAGAG